CCUACGGGAGGCAGCAGUGGGGAAUAUUGGACAAUGGGCGAAAGCCUGAUCCAGCCAUGCCGCGUGUGUGAAGAAGGCCCUCGGGUUGUAAAGCACUUUCAGUGGGGAAGAAAGCCUUGGGGCUAAUACCCUCGAGGAAGGACAUCACCCACAGAAGAAGCACCGGCUAACUCCGUGCCAGCAGCCGCGGUAAUACGGAGGGUGCGAGCGUUAAUCGGAAUUACUGGGCGUAAAGCGCGCGUAGGCGGUCUGAUAAGCCGGUUGUGAAAGCCCCGGGCUCAACCUGGGAACGGCAUCCGGAACUGUCAGGCUAGAGUGCAGGAGAGGAAGGUAGAAUUCCCGGUGUAGCGGUGAAAUGCGUAGAGAUCGGGAGGAAUACCAGUGGCGAAGGCGGCCUUCUGGACUGACACUGACGCUGAGGUGCGAAAGCGUGGGUAGCAAACAGGAUUAGAUACCCCAGUAGUC
rnacentral:rRNA from 1 species